GCCUGGAUGGUGGAAUUGGUAGACACCCGAGACUUAAAAUCUCGUGAGCCUUGCGCUCGUGUCGGUUCGAGUCCGACUCUAGGCACCA
rnacentral:tRNA from 3 species